UACGUAGGGGGCAAGCGUUAUCCGGAUUUACUGGGUGUAAAGGGAGCGUAGACGGUCCUGCAAGCCAGAUGUGAAAGCCCGGGGCUCAACCCCGGGACUGCAUUUGGAACUGUAAGGCUAGAGUGACGGAGAGGCAGGCGGAAUUCCUAGUGUAGCGGUGAAAUGCGUAGAUAUUAGGAGGAACACCAGUGGCGAAGGCGGCCUGCUGGACGAUGACUGACGUUGAGGCUCGAAAGCGUGGGGAGCAAACAGG
rnacentral:rRNA from 1 species